AGGCAGUGUUCAUGAAAAGUGUGUCCUCCCCUGGGCAACCCUGGCCUCCCUCCCUAUGCUUCUCAGCUUCUCUUUCUGCAGAGGGAAGCUAACCUGCAAGAGUACCACGUCAUUGACCUGAGCCCAUUGGUUUGGAGGGUUGGCAACCUCAGGUACAUUAUUUCUUCUCUUUUAGCUUCAGUUUUCUUGACUUUAAUAUAAGGAUAAUGUCCCUAAUUGAGAACUGUAGUGACAAAAUAGUGACAAAUCAAACAAGACAGUGGAGAUAGAAUUUAGUGAUUGGUAGAGCUGUGUAAAUGUAAGAAGUUAAUGUCUGUACUGCUGUAAAACUUAAAAAAAAAAAAAAAACUUGGUUAAUAUAAAUAAUUAAAUGGCCAACAAUUCCUGAAUACUUCUGCUCUAAAAACUUUGUGCAUGUUGUUUUAAUUAAUUAUCAUAAUUAUUCUAUGGGGCAUGUGUUAUUAUUGUUCCUAUUUUCAGAUGACAAAUCUAAUACAUGCAGAGGUUGAGUAACUUGCUCAAGGUCAUACAGCCAGUAAGUAAAGCUAGGAUAUAAACCCAGAUGAUCUAACUCCAAAAC
rnacentral:lncRNA from 12 species